GACGAACGCUGGCGGCGUGCUUAACACAUGCAAGUCGAACGGUGAAGCUCCAGCUUGCUGGAGUGGAUCAGUGGCGAACGGGUGAGUAACACGUGAGCAACCUGCCCCUGACUCUGGAAUAAGCGCUGGAAACGGCGUCUAAUACUGGAUACGAGAAGGGUCCGCAUGGGCACUUUCUGGAAAGUUUUUCGGUUGGGGAUGGGCUCGCGGCCUAUCAGCUUGUUGGUGAGGUAAUGGCUCACCAAGGCGACGAUGGGUAGCCGGCCUGAGAGGGCGACCGGCCACACUGGGACUGAGACACGGCCCAGACUCCUACGGGAGGCAGCAGUGGGGAAUAUUGCACAAUGGGCGAAAGCCUGAUGCAGCGACGCCGCGUGAGGGAUGACGGCCUUCGGGUUGUAAACCUCUUUCAGCAGGGAAGAAGCGAAAGUGACGGUACCUGCAGAAGAAGCACCGGCUAACUACGUG
rnacentral:rRNA from 1 species